AUUGAACGCUGGCGGCAGGCCUAACACAUGCAAGUCGAACGAGUGGCGGACGGGUGAGUAAUGUCUGGGAAACUGCCUGAUGGAGGGGGAUAACUACUGGAAACGGUAGCUAAUACCGCAUACCAUCAGAUGUGCCCAGAUGGGAUUAGCUUGUUGGUGGGGUAACGGCUCACCAAGGCGACGAUCCCUAGCUGGUCUGAGAGGAUGACCGGCCACACUGGGACUGAGGCACGGUCCAGUAUCCUACGGGAGGCAGCAGUUGGGAAUAUUGCACAAGGGGCGCAAGCCUGAUGCAGCCAUGCCGCGUGUAUGAAGAAGGCCUUCGGGUUGUAAAGUACUUUCAGCGGAGAGGCGUUACCCGUAGAAGAAGAAGCGGCUAACUCCGUGCCAGCCGCCGCGGUAAUUC
rnacentral:rRNA from 1 species